GCCUUUCUGGCGCAAUCGGAAGCGCGUGUGACUCUUAAUCACAAGGUUAGGGGUUCGAGCCCCCUGCAGGGCU
rnacentral:tRNA from 1 species